rnacentral:rRNA from 1 species
GACGAACGCUGGCGGCGUGCUUAACACAUGCAAGUCGAGCGGUAAGGCUCCUUCGGGAGUACACGAGCGGCGAACGGGUGAGUAACACGUGAGUAAUCUGCCCUUCACUUCGGGAUAACCGCCGGAAACGGUGGCUAAUACCGAAUACGACCAGUCUUCGCAUGAGGUGCUGGUGGAAAGUCUUUUCGGUGAAGGAUGUGCUCGCGGCCUAUCAGCUUGUUGGUGGGGUAAUGGCCUACCAAGGCUUCGACGGGUAGCCGGCCUGAGAGGGUGACCGGCCACACUGGGACUGAGACACGGCCCAGACUCCUACGGGAGGCAGCAGUGGGGAAUAUUGGACAAUGGGCGAAAGCCUGAUCCAGCAACGCCGCGUGAGGGAUGACGGCCUUCGGGUUGUAAACCUCUUUCAGUACCGACGAAGCGCCCUGUCGGGUGGUGACGGUAGGUACAGAAGAAGGACCGGCCAACUACGUG